CUUGAGGACUCAAUUCCCAGAGGAUACAGAAUGAGACAACACAUCAGGGAUUUGCUGGCCCUAAGAUGCAAAAUCCUCUCUCCUCAGAAUCAGAAGCUCUUUUAUGCCAUUAGGAUCUAUUCCCACAAGCAUGAAAUGAAGCCCACAGAGAUUGGAGCAAAGCCCUCUUCCCAUUGCUCCGAGGGACACCACUGAGGUGGGCUGCUCACCAAGAAUGUGAAUGACACUUACAAAGGACAUCUCGCUGUCAUUAACCAGUGCUUCUCAACCUUCCUA